rnacentral:rRNA from 1 species
GAGUUUGAUCCUGGCUCAGGAUGAACGCUGGCGGCGUGCCUAAUACAUGCAAGUCGAACGCACUGAUUUUAUCAGUGAGUGGCGAACGGGUGAGUAAUACAUAAGUAACCUGCCCUCAUGAGGGGGAUAACUAUUAGAAAUGAUAGCUAAGACCGCAUAGGUGAAGGGGUCGCAUGACCGCUUCAUUAAAUAUCCGUAAGGAUAGCAGGAGGAUGGACUUAUGGCGCAUUAGCUGGUUGGUGAGGUAACGGCUCACCAAGGCGACGAUGCGUAGCCGACCUGAGAGGGUGGACGGCCACACUGGGACUGAGACACGGCCCAGACUCCUACGGGAGGCAGCAGUAGGGAAUUUUCGGCAAUGGGGGAAACCCUGACCGAGCAACGCCGCGUGAGGGAAGAAGUAUUUCGGUAUGUAAACCUCUGUUAUAAAGGAAGAACGGUAUGAAUAGGAAAUGAUUCAUAAGUGACGGUACUUUAUGAGAAAGCCAC